rnacentral:rRNA from 1 species
UACGUGGGGUGCAAACGUUGCUCGGAAUUAUUGGGCGUAAAGCGCACGUAGGCGGCUCUCUAAGUCGCAUGUGAAAGCCCCGGGCUCAACCUGGGAACAGCGCUUGAGACUGGCACGCUCGAGUUCGGGAGAGGAUGGUGGAAUUCCCAGUGUAGAGGUGAAAUUCGUAGAUAUUGGGAAGAACACCGAUGGCGAAGGCAGCCAUCUGGACCGACACUGACGCUGAGGCGCGAAAGCGUGGGGAGCAAACAGG